AUGUCGAGGUGCUUCCCCUACCCGCCGCCGGGCUACGUGCGAAACCCAGUGGCCGUGCCCCCCGUUCCCGUGGUGGAGACGACCGCUAAGCUCCAGAAAGAAAGGGAAAGGGCCGAAAAGAAAGAGAAAAGGAGGAAUGACAAGAAAGCUUCCCAUCCGGGUGGUGGUGAGACAAAACAUUCAAAACGCAGCCAUAAGAAGAGAAAGCAUGAAGAUACCAACAUAGCUGGUCCGGAGUCCAAAACUGCCUCCAAAGAACAGUUUGAGCAGUUGGAGAAGAGUGGACUCUCAGAAGAGUAUGGGGCUCCUUCUUUCAUUCAGACAAUUCAUGGAUCACCAGAGAGCUCUCAGGACAGCAGUAAGCGAAGAAAGGUGGUACUCCCAGGCCCUAGUCAAAGUAAGAAUGGGACAGUACUUCGCAUUAAGAUAAAAAGAGAUCAGGAAUCUCCGUCAGCCAUGUCGGAUGGUUCUAGGGUUCUUCAGCAACCACCUGUCCAACAAAUGGCUACACCUUCAUCCUUGUUGAGUAAGCAGAAUGCAGUUCAACCUUGCAGGGAUGUUAUGGUAAAGUCAGCUGCCGGUCUCCAGCAAAGCAUCAAGAGGGAUACUCAAUCUGUGCCAAAACAAAUGGAUGUAAAACCCCCUGCAACGAUCUUGCAAAGAGUUCCUUCCAUGACAAAUAUUGCUCCAAAGGUGGAUCCCCCAACCUCGGCGAAGAUCACGCAAAAGAUAGAUACCCCUACCUCAGCAAAGAUCAUGCAAAAGAUAGAUCCCCGGGUGCCUGUUAAUGCUACACCUUCAUCUGCCAAGGUGAAGGGAAGUGCUGAUCCUUUGCCUAUGCCGCUGACACGACGAGUUGUUCCUCCACCUGCUAAGGCGGCACAGAGAGUUGACAUUCCUCCUGCCAAGGUUGUUGACAUUCCUCCUGUGAAGGUGUUGCAGAAGGUUGACCCCCUGGUGCCAUCCAAGGUGCUCCGAAGAGAUGCUCCUCCACCGAGUUUGCCGGUGUUGCAAAAGGAAACAAUAAAAGUCGCUGCUUCCAACCAGCCAGACAGGCAGCAGCAGCCCGUCCUGCACAAACCAAAGGGGCCUGUAGGCACUCCCCUCGUCCAACAGCAGCAGUCAAGCACCUCCUUGGCGAAAGAAGAGCCUUGUUCCUCUGGCAGGAACACCGAAAAAGGCACAGUACCAGAGGCUAAGCAGUCCAAGUCUGAUCGUAAGAAGAGCCGCAAGGCUGAGAAGGAAGAGAAGAAAGAGAGGAAGUUCCGAGAUCUAUUUGUUACCUGGAAUCCACCUUCCUUGGAGAUUGAGGAGACCGGGAAUCUCGGCGACCAGGAUUGGUUGCUCGGCGGUGCAAAGAAACCUGAUGCCAGCAAUAGCAGCUGCAAGGCAAGUGAUGGUUUGGCGCCCAUGGAGCUGGAGUUUUCAUGGCAACCAAGGGCUAUUCAUUUGCCCGACCUUCAUAUGUAUCAGUUGCCAUAUGUUGUUCCCCUUUAG
rnacentral:rRNA from 1 species